GCAAGUCGAGCGGCAGCGCGGAGCAAUCUGGCGGCGAGCGGCGGACGGGUGAGGAAUACAUCGGAAUCUGCCCUUUUGUGGGGGACAACUCAGGGAAACUUGAGCUAUUACCGCAUGAUGUCGAGAGACCAAAGCUGGGGACCUUCGGGCCUGGCGCAGGAGGAUGAGCCGAUGUCGGAUUAGCUAGUUGGUAGGGUAAAAGCCUACCAAGGCGACGAUCCGUAGCUGGUCUGAGAGGAUGAUCAGCCACACUGGAACUGAGACACGGUCCAGACUCCUACGGGAGGCAGCAGUGGGGAAUAUUGGACAAUGGGGGCAACCCUGAUCCAGCAAUGCCGCGUGUGUGAAGAAGGCCUUCGGGUUGUAAAGCACUUUUGUUCGGGACGAAAUCGUGGGUAUUAAUACUGCUUACGGAUGACGGUACCGAAAGAAUAAGCACCGGCUAACUUCGUGCCAGCAGCCGCGGUAAUACGAAGGGUGCAAGCGUUAAUCGGAAUUACUGGGCGUAAAGCGUGCGUAGACGGCACACUAAGUCAGCUGUGAAACCCCCGGGCUCAACCUGGGACCUGCAGCUGAUACUGGUGAGCUUGGAGUUUGAGAGAGGG
rnacentral:rRNA from 1 species